rnacentral:lncRNA from 1 species
UAUGUUUUUAUAAUUUUUAUAUUUAAUACUUUUUACCAUUCUCUUCAAUUUGUUUAUAAAAGUAUCAGAUCUCCACACAGUUAUAUUCACACAUUUAUCCAUUAGAUUUCUUUGUGAGAUAAAUAUGAAUCCAAGCACUUUUGUAGAGUUAACCACUAUUACUGGUCGGGGGAGCAUUGAGUAGCAACUGUCUCCGAUGAGAUUUUUUGUAUCUCGAUUCCUUUAUACCUGCAAUUCCGCUCCUUCCCUAUGUAUGAGGAAGCAACGGUAAAUUCUGAAGUGCUGCGUUUGUUCACGUAAUGCUUUUGCGUCCAGUUUGACCUCCGGCCUUGGAAAGAUCAUCUUAGACCACUUUAAAUAAUAUAAGUACAUGUAAAUAUGUAAUACAAC